UCCGCGAGCCGCACAAGGUGGCGGCUGCACCAAUCCCUUCAGCAACAGCUCGAGAUCGGCCAAUGAACGUCAGUAUUAUUGGAGAACCAAUUCCGGACAACCAAUGGGAAGGGAACUUCUGGAGCAGCGUGAAGUCGCAGUUCUUCCAUCUUGGAACAGGGCCGCCCGGACUCCGCCCUCAUCUUGAGGUGUUGCCCACGUGGUCUGAUCUGGCUUCUGCUUAGUUGCACACACAGGCACACACACCGGCUUGAGUUCCCUGCAGAAACAGACCCUGAGUACGGGUGGAGUCGGUGUUGAAUCCAGGAGUGCGUUCCUAGAGUCACGGUGGAAGAUGACUGAGUAAGCUUGUGGAUGCUCGCGGUCGGAAACUACCGACUAGGGAACCGGAGAAAGGCAGAUGAUGUGUGCGACAGAAAGAGCCUCCAACCCUGGUCCGUCCCCCACUCGCGCGUCUCAUGGGGGCAGCAGCGCCUGGCGUUCUUCUGCUCCACACGGCAGUAGGAAUUCCCCAUUUACAGAUGAGGAAACCGAUGCUGAGGUGAAAAGACCAAACUUCUGGAAGAUGGCCCCAGGAUUGGAACCUUUAAAGUCAAGACGUGUCAAGUACCUACAAAAUGGAAAAACUUUGCAGGGACAAAAGACAUCCACCAGCCUUCUGUGAUUUGGGAAGUUGGCUCUGAGUAGACUUUGGGGAUUACUAAAAGACCUGGAUUCGGAGAAUAACAUUCAAUCAAAACUUUGUAGCUUGCUGUUCUUCUCAACUUUUUAUUAUUAAAUAAAAAGUCAAAUUCUUGAUUUUGA